rnacentral:rRNA from 1 species
GAUGAACGCUAGCAGAACGCCUAACACAUGCAAGUCGAACGGACUUGUUGACUUCGGUUAACAAGUUAGUGGCAAACGGGCGAGUAACACGUGCUUAAUUUGCCCCGGAGAGGGGGACAACUACAGAGAUGUAGCUAAACCCCCAUACGCUCAUAGGAAUGAAAAUAACUAUGAGGAAACAAUUUAUUGCUCUGGGAGAAGGGCGCGGCCUAUCAGGUAGUUGGUGAGGUAACGGCUCACCAAGCCUACGACGGGUAACCGGUCUGAGAGGAUGUCCGGUCGCAAUGGAACUGAGACACGGUCCAUACCCCUACGGGGGGCAGCAGUGGGGAAUCUUGGUCAAUGGACGAAAGUCUGAACCAGCGAUUCUGCGUGAAGGAUGAAGCCUCGCGGGGUGUAAACUUCUUUUAUGGGGGAAGACGAAUGACGGUACCCCACGAAUAAGGGACGGCUAACUACGUGCCAGCAGCCGCGGUAAUGUAUCGUUACG